GAUGAACGCUGGCGGCGUGCCUAAUACAUGCAAGUCGAGCGGACGGACGAGAAGCUUGCUUCUCUGAUGUUAGCGGCGGACGGGUGAGUAACACGUGGAUAACCUACCGAUAAGACUGGGAUAACUUCGGGAAACCGGAUCUAAUACCGGAUAAUAGGAUGAACCGCAUGGUUCAAAAGUGAAAGACGGUCUUGCUGUCACUUAUAGAUGGAUCCGCGCUGCAUUAGCUAGUUGGUAAGGUAACGGCUUACCAAGGCAACGAUGCAUAGCCGACCUGAGAGGACGAUCAGCCACACUGGAACUGAGACACGGUCCAGACUCCUACGGGAGGCAGCAGUAGGGAAUCUUCCGCAAUGGGCGAAAGCCUGACGGAGCAACGCCGCGUGAGUGAUGAAGGUCUUCGGAUCGUAAAGCUCUGUUAUUAGGGAAGAACAUAUGUGUAAGUAACUGUCCACAUGAUGACGGUACCUAAUCAGAAAGCAACGGCUAACUACGUG
rnacentral:rRNA from 1 species